UCGAGAGUGGCACCUUUACCGUAGAUGAAUUCCAACGUCGCUGGCGACUCCAGCGGCGACGGCCGCUCUGAAAGCCUCAGCCGAGGCGGUGCCAGCACCACAAGUUCUGCUUCUUCAGCCCCGCCCGUCACGGUGACCUUCGUUACGAAUGGACAGGAGUUUGCGGCGGCCUUCGAGUGCGAAGGUAGCACCUUCAGCGUCAGCGGCAGCGGCAGCAACAUCACCACAGGUCAUAGCAGAGGCGGUGAUGCCUUUGUCUUGUGCUACGAGCAUCCCGGCGACGGCGUCACGGCAGAACACCUUCUGCAAUUCAAAAACAGCGUUACGGCCGCCGCGCAGCAAUACGGAGCGCGACUUCGUCUCUUUGUCUGGGACUGCACCAGCCCCUCCUUCGCCGCUGCCCGCGUCCAGCUUGGCAAACGCCACGGUCAUCCACUGCUGUUAGUCGUCGUCAAAGGUGCUGUCGCCGACACGCUUCGUGACAUGCCACUCACGGAGAUGAGUGCGACAGAGGUGCCGCGGGUAUGCAGCCGGCUUGCAUCUUUUCAAUCCUCUGCGAAGCCAGCUCGCGUCUCCACCAUCGUGACUGCCACGUCGACAGCAGAGAGCAGUGGUGCGGCAUCGCCACCGCAGGAGGAGGCGGAGCAGCACUUGUCGGUGGACGUGGCCAAGAUGGUGGGAAUGGGGAAAAGGCUCAUGGCAGAGCGUCAGCCCUUUUACGCGGAGAAGUUCUUCGUGAAAGCACUGCGAACCCUCGAUGCGGUUGCCGCCGAUGUUGAUCGGCUCGUCGCAUCCCGAGAGGACUACGAUCACAGCGUCGCCCUGUGUCUGGCCUGGGCCGGACUGGCGCAACUGGUGCAGGGCAAGCAAACUGUCGAGAACGCGUACUUGGAGCGCCUUGAGCGAGAGGCGGCGUUGCAGCCCUUUCGCGAUGCGCCACUUAAUGAUGCGAACCGUGCAUUGACCACCUGGCGUUUGAUGCAAGGUGCACCGCGUCCGUGGAGUGAGACGCGAGAUAGCGAGGCGAAGCUGCAAGCGGCACUGUCUUCAAAUGCACACGACACCGUUGCCCGUAGUCUUUUCGUAAUCACAUUGUUCCUUAAAGGAGACCUGGAACGCGCCAUGACGGAGGCGCUGAAGCUGCACGUGUACGGUGACGCCUUUGGCUGCGUGGCCCUCAAGCACAUGUCGCGCUUCCUGGGCAAGGAUCAUGUACUGGUGGAGCGUCUUGGAAUGCCCGCCUUGACGGAGUCGAUUUAGGCGAGGCCGAAGAAUGCAAAUCGGAGACGGCACAGAGACGCCUGCAACUCUCCAUAUCAGAUGAGAAUCUUUACCAAAGAACGAACCAAGGCAACCUUUAUUCCCUCCUAAAAAAAAAGACGACAGAAUGGGUGAAAAGCAAAGGCGAGACGACGUUGCGCUGUGCUUGUGCGCGUAUGUUUGUGCAUGUGUGCCUCUCGCAACUGGGCCAGGCGGUGUGCUGCUGUUCCUCGCUCUCCCCAUGUAUGUGCGUGUGUGUGCCCCGGGCCUCGCCCUUCACGUUGCCCUCCUGUGACAUGUAGGCCUGUGUGUGUGGGCGGUGGGAGCGGAGAGGAGGAGUUGGCGGACUGAUGGCGGCUUCACCUGUUUCAAGAUGCGGAUGUCAAUGCAGUCGAACCGAAGACAAUAUACCCGCCGCGGCUGCUGCUGCCCACUUCUUUCCCUGACCACUCUCUUGCUGCGUGUGUGGCGCGUGUGUAUGUCGGCUCUUACACCUCCGCUGUUCUCUCGCUAUCCUCCCUUUUCCCUCGUGUGUGCCGCGCCAG
rnacentral:misc_RNA from 1 species